rnacentral:rRNA from 1 species
UACGUAGGGUGCAAGCGUUGUCCGGAAUUAUUGGGCGUAAAGAGCUCGUAGGCGGUCUGUUGCGUCGGCUGUGAAAACCCGGGGCUCAACUCCGGGCCUGCAGCCGAUACGGGCAGACUGGAGUUCGGCAGGGGAGACUGGAAUUCCUGGUGUAGCGGUGAAAUGCGCAGAUAUCAGGAGGAACACCGGUGGCGAAGGCGGGUCUCUGGGCCGAUACUGACGCUGAGGAGCGAAAGCGUGGGGAGCGAACAGG